CCGCACGGUAAACGAUGGAUGCCCGCUGUCCGGCCCCUGGGUCGGGCGGCCACGCGAAAGCCUUGAGCAUCCCACCUGGGGAGUACGCCGGCAACGGUGAAACUCAAAGGAAUUGACGGGGGCCCGCACAAGCGGAGGAACAUGUGGUUUAAUUCGAUGAUACGCGAGGAACCUUACCCGGGAUUGAAAUGUAGGAGUUAGAUGAUGAGAGUCAUUGUCCCUUCGGGGCUCCUAUGUAGGUGCUGCAUGGUUGU
rnacentral:rRNA from 1 species